rnacentral:misc_RNA from 1 species
AGUUCAUAAAAACACUUGGGAUCUUUGUGUGUGAGAUUCGUGUUCCGCUGGGGAGUAAGAGCUGGAUUAUCUGCCUAGGAACCAAGUCACAAGUCAGUGAUGCAGACUCCUUUGCAAUUGUGAGCACCAGUUCCUUCUCAUUGACAAAUAUUUAAAUUCAACUUGUGAUUAUUGAAGAAAUUUUCUAUGAGGAAACUACGGGCAUAUGGCGAGAGGUAUUACACGGCUGACUCUAGAAUGGGCAUUUUAUGAGGAAACUACGGGCAUAUGGCGAGAGGUAUUACACGGCUGACUCUAGAAUGGGCAUUUUAGAGGGUCAGCUGGAGGCCCACCAGGAGGAAGGCAUGGUGAUCUCCCACAUGGCCGUGUCCGGCGUCGGGAUCUGGAUUGCCUUCACCUCAGGGUCCACGCUCCGCCUUUUUCACACGGAAACUCUCAAGCACCUGCAGGACAUCAACAUCGCCACCCCUGUUCACAACAUGCUGCCAGGGCACCAGCGGCUGUCGGUGACGAGCCUGCUCGUCUGCCACGGAUUGCUGAUGGUCGGCACCAGCCUGGG